AGCGAAUAGAUACCCCGGUAGUCCACGCCCUAAACGAUGUCAACUAGGUGUUGGAGGAGCAAUCCUUUGGUACCGCAGCUAAACGCGUGAAGUUGACCGCCUGGGGAGUACGGUCGCAAGAUUAAAACUACAAAGGAAUUGACGGGGACCCGGCACAAGCGGUGGAUGAUGUGGAUUAAAUUCGAUGCAACGCGAACAACCUUACCUACCCUUGACAUGUCCGGAAGGCUGCUGAAAGGCGGCUGUGCCCGAAAGGGAACUGGAACACAGGUGCUGCAUGGCUGUCGUCAGCUCGUGUCGUGAGAUGUUGGGUUAAGUCCCGCAACGAGCGCAACCCUUGUCCUUAGUUGCUACGCAAGGGCACUCUAAUGAGACUGCCGGUGACAAACCGGAGGAAGGUGGGAUGACGUCAAGUCCUCAUGGCCCUUAUGGGUAGGGCUUCACACGUCAUACAAUGGUCGGUACAGA
rnacentral:rRNA from 1 species